GGCAAACCCUCUUUUCUGAUCCAUCCCGCCACCAUGUGACUUACUUUCAACAAUGAGCAGCUCUCCAUCUCGGCAAGAGGGGCAGGAAUUUCAGAAAAGUCUGCCCAGCGACAGGUCUACACCCCCCAUGAAACGGGAGCAACUGGGAGGGACUGGGAGACAAGUCGGGAUAGAGGCAAAGAUCAAUGGAGCGAAGUAAAGAGAUCCUUGUGAAAACCUGCACCAGAGCACUCAGGACCUCAGACGGGGGCAAAGGUUAAUCUUUUAACACGGCAAUGACCCUAAGAACGCAGCCACUCCUGCGUUGUCUUGGCUUCGGGACAAGUCUCAGAAUGUUCUUGAGUGGCCCAGCCAGAGGCCGGACUUGAACCUGAUCAAACAUCUCUGGAGAGAUCUGAAAACUAGUUUUGCAGCGAAGCUCCACAUCCAACCUGACAGAGGUUGAAAGUAUCUGCAGAGAAGAAUGGGAGAAACUGCCCAAAUACAGGUGUGCCAAAAAUGUAGUGUUAUACCCAAGAAGACUUGAGGCUGUAGUUGCUGUCAAAUGUACUAACAAAGUUGAGUAAAGGGUCUAAAUAUUUACAUUUAAAAUAGUUUAGUACAUUUGCUACAUUUUCUGAACCUGUUUUUGCUUUGUCAUUAUGGGAUAGUGUGUUUAGAUUGAAGUGCGGAAACAAUUUAAUACAUUUUAGGAUAAGACUGUAAAGUAAACAUUUUGAAAAAGUCAAGGAGUCUGUAAACUUUCCAAAUGCAAUGCAUGUUCAGAGUAAUUUCCAAUGGCAUUGUACUUGAUCAGGCAAAAAGAGAUUACAAGACGUGCAGCAUGAUUGAUUAAUUUUGAUAGCAAAAAAACACCAAAACCGGUUUGCCCUGCUAAAAACUGCCAACGGGUCUGCCCUGCUUAAUAAAAAUAGCCUAAUUUACAAUGCUGACUAGAUAAGAGUAAACAGAGGUCGUAUCUAGUAAUUCAUCAAUGGAAUAAUUGUCAGAGUAGAGGACCUUGGUGUUGUGCCGAAAAUCACCCCCCGUGCCAGAAUUAUCCCCCCUCUAAUUUCCUGGCACACAGUCAAGCACAUUCUAUAGAACAAGCUUCGUCAGGAUAGGUAACCGAAAUUAAUAAUUAACGUGUGUGUUUAAUACACAUUUCAGAACUACUAUAGCUGAAUUUUUAUCCUUACACUUUCAAAAAUACUAGUCGAUUAAGAACUGGGAGAGAUGACGAAUUUUGGCAGAGACUUAUUUAUAGAUUAAUACAAAAAUCAGUGUUGGAUUUAUGUACGGGCGACAUGGGCAGCGGCACCGGGCGCCCCCGGUUGCGCGGAGUGGUACAGACAAGCUAGAACCGCCACAUACACUUGAAACAAUUGGCCAAACCGACAAAAACGCUUUCUAAGAUCAGUGAAAUGUAGGCUAAACGGACAACGGAGUGAACAGCAGAAAUCUCAACGAACAAGCAAGUCACAGCAAUGAAGAACUCGCAAGAGUGGGGGGUUAUGACGGGGUGGGGGGAGAUUUUCGGCACAACAACAGGCGUAAAGAACUUUAGUCAACGGACAUUGCUGAUCUCCAGCUCCAUGGACACCCCUACAACACAUUCCAGUACUUUCCCCAAUACUACAGUGGUUCCUCCUUCAAAAGUUGUGAUCUUAUACCGCGGGACACAGAGGUACCCAGCGUCACCAAGUUAAAGCUUGGUUGCAAAUAGGUCUUCUAAAUGGACAAUGACCCCAAGCAUACUUCCAAAGUUGUGGAAAAAUGGCUUAAGGACAACAAAGUCAAGGUAUUAGAGUGGCCAUCACAAAGAUCUGACCUCAAUCCCAUGGAAGAUGUGUGGGCAGAACUGAAAAAGCGUGUGAGAGCAAGGAGGCCUUACAAACCUGACUCAGGUACACCAGCUCUGUCAGGAGGAAUGGGCCAAAAUUCACCCAACUUAUUGUGGGACGCUUGUGGAAGGCUACCCGAAACAUUUGACCCAAGUUAAAUAAUUGAAAGGCAAUGUUGCCAAAUACUAAUUGAGUGUAUGUAAACCUCUGAUCCACUUGGAAUGUGAUGAAAGAAAUAAAAGCUGAAAUAAAUCACUCUAUUAUUAUUCUGACAUUUCACAUUCUUAAAAUAAAGUGGUGAUCCUAACUAACCUAAGAAAGGGAAUUUUUACUAGGAUUAAGUGUCAUGAAUUGUGAAAAACUGAGUUUAAAUGUAUUUGGCUACGGUGUAUGUAAACUUCAGACUUCAACUGUACAUGUACUGUAGUUAUUACCACUGUUUGAUUCUGGGUUAAACGUUGAACAUUGCUAUACUAGAGACAUGAUAGACCAGAAGUAAUACUAUAGUAUCUGAGGGGCGAUAGAGAAUGGUUGUUACAUCAGAAGUUAAUAGUUAUCUGUAGGAGACAGAUGGCUUUGGAAUGUGCUGGGUGGACGGGAGGAAGUCCCAGGAGUGCAAAAGGUGAUAUGGGUGGAGAGCUUUGGAAUAGACAUCAAGGGUGGUUGAGGUCAGGUCAGCUUAAGACAGAACAGUUUAUUACUCUCACUUAUUCUUCCUGUAAGACCAUAACAUAUGUAAGGAUUGGAGAUGAGGAGUGUCUAAAUUGGAGUAUAUAUACUUGUGGUGGUGGAAACAUAUGUUAUCUGAAUCCAGCUGUAUCAAUCCUUUGGGUAGAAUUAAACUUGGUUAAGCUUUUCUAGUGUCCGUUGAGUCAUUUACUCUGAAAAUUAGAACCUAACACCACGCAUGAGAUCCCCACAUUGUAGCCUGUACAUUGAAUAUAUUCACUGAUCAUGUACUCUUCCUUGGCAAAUAAAGGUGCGAAUCAGGUAUGUAUCUCUGACUGAAAAAUAAUGUCUCACAUAUCCAAUACCAGGUGUAUCAAACUCCAUUAUUUGAAUGAUGCUGUGUCUGCAUUACAAUUAUACACUUCAGUGUUUACCACUCCUGCUCCAUCAAUGAUUGCACAUUGUAACUAUGCAAUAUACUAGAAACAUGAUUUAAGUAAAGGAUGAUUUGUAAUUCAUAUAUACAGAAAAUAACUGCAAAACACUACACUUCCUAUGCAUAUCUAAUAGGUUUAGGUGUAGUAUUUCAAUGACAUACUUAAUUUCAACCAGUGGAGAAUGUGAAAUGCUUAAUUGAA